CCAAACUUGGUCAUUUAGAGGAAGUAAAAGUCGUAACAAGGUUUCCGUAGGUGAACCUGCGGAAGGAUCAUUACCGAGUAACGAACCUUUUCGGUUCAAACUCUCACCCAAUGUUUAUUUAAGUCGUUGCUUCGGGUGGACGUCUUCACGGACGCUGGCGCCCUAACAAGGCUCUAGAGAGUGCCCCCGAAACUUUUUAAAUCAAUUAUUUUGAAAAUCUGAGAAAAAUCUAAAUGAUAUAAAACUUUCAACAACGGAUCUCUUGGUUCUGGCAUCGAUGAAGAACGCAGC
rnacentral:misc_RNA from 1 species